GCGAGAAGUCCACUGAACCUUAUCAUUUAGAGGAAGGAGAAGUCCUAACAAGGUUUCCGUAGGUGAACCUGCGGAAGGAUCAUUGUCGAAUCCUGCCCAGCAGAAUGACCAGAGAA
rnacentral:rRNA from 2 species